UGGGGAAUAUUGCACAAUGGGCGCAAGCCUGAUGCAGCCAUGCCGCGUGUGUGAAGAAGGCCUUCGGGUUGUAAAGCACUUUCAGCGAGGAGGAAGGUGGUGAGCUUAAUACGCUCAUCAAUUGACGUUACUCGCAGAAGAAGCACCGGCUAACUCCGUGCCAGCAGCCGCGGUAAUACGGAGGGUGCAAGCGUUAAUCGGAAUUACUGGGCGUAAAGCGCACGCAGGCGGUUUGUUAAGUCAGAUGUGAAAUCCCCGGGCUCAACCUGGGAACUGCAUUUGAAACUGGCAAGCUAGAGUCUCGUAGAGGGGGGUAGAAUUCCAGGUGUAGCGGUGAAAUGCGUAGAGAUCUGGAGGAAUACCGGUGGCGAAGGCGGCCCCCUGGACGAAGACUGACGCUCAGGUGCGAAAGCGUGGGGCAGCAAACAGGAUUAGAUACCCUGGUAGUCCACGCUGUAAACGAUGUCGAUUUUGGAGGUUGUGCCCUUGAGGCGUGGCUUCCGGAGCUAACGCGUUAAAUCGACCGCCUGGGGAGUACGGCCGCAAGGUUAAAACUCAAAUGAAUUGACGGGGUCAU
rnacentral:rRNA from 1 species